rnacentral:rRNA from 1 species
ACGCUGGCGGCAGGCUUAACACAUGCAAGUCGAACGGUGACAGGAAUUAGCUUGCUAAUUUGCUGACGAGUGGCGGACGGGUGAGUAAUGCUUGGGAAUCUGGCUUAUGGAGGGGGAUAACUACGGGAAACUGUAGCUAAUACCGCGUAAAAUCUUCGGAUUAAAGGGUGGGACUUUCGAGCCACCUGCCAUAAGAUGAGCCCAAGUGGGAUUAGGUAGUUGGUUAGGUAAAGGCUGACCAAGCCGACGAUCUCUAGCUGGUCUGAGAGGAUGACCAGCCACACUGGAACUGAGACACGGUCCAGACUCCUACGGGAGGCAGCAGUGGGGAAUAUUGCACAAUGGGGGGAACCCUGAUGCAGCCAUGCCGCGUGAAUGAAGAAGGCCUUCGGGUUGUAAAGUUCUUUCGGUGACGAGGAAGGUUGAUAGGUUAAUAGCCUAUCAAAUUGACGUUAAUCACAGAAGAAGCACCGGCUAACUCCGUGCCAGCAGCCGCGGUAAUACGGGGGGUGCGAGCGUUAAUCGGAAUAACUGGGCGUAAAGGGCACGCGGGCGGUGACUUAAGUGAGAUGUGAAAGCCCCGAGCUUAACUUGGGAAUUGCAUUUCAUACUGGGUCGCUAGAGUACUUUAGGGAGGGGUAGAAUUCCACGUGUAGCGGUGAAAUGCGUAGAGAUGUGGAGGAAUACCGAAGGCGAAGGCAGCCCCUUGGGAAUGUACUGACGCUCAUGUGCGAAAGCGUGGGGAGCAAACAGGAUUAGAUACCCUGGUAGUCCACGCUGUAAACGAUGUCGAUUUGGGGAUUGGGCUUUGAGCUUGGUGCCCGUAGCUAACGUGAUAAAUCGACCGCCUGGGGAGUACGGCCGCAAGGUUAAAACUCAAAUGAAUUGACGGGGGCCCGCACAAGCGGUGGAGCAUGU